rnacentral:tRNA from 1 species
GGAGCUGUGCCCGAAUGCCUAAGGACCACUUUGAUAGAGUGACUAAUGGGGGCUAAAAUCCCCCCAGCUCCU